rnacentral:rRNA from 1 species
AUGAACGCUGGCGGCGUGCCUAAUACAUGCAAGUCGAGCGAACGGACGGGAAGCUUGCUUCUCUGAUGUUAGCGGCGGACGGGUGAGUAACACGUGGAUAACCUACCUAUAAGACUGGGAUAACUUCGGGAAACCGGAGCUAAUACCGGAUAAUAUUUUGAACCGCAUGGUUCAAAAGUGAAAGACGGUCUUGCUGUCACUUAUAGAUGGAUCCGCGCUGCAUUAGCUAGUUGGUAAGGUAACGGCUUACCAAGGCAACGAUGCAUAGCCGACCUGAGAGGGUGAUCGGCCACACUGGAACUGAGACACGGUCCAGACUCCUACGGGAGGCAGCAGUAGGGAAUCUUCCGCAAUGGGCGAAAGCCUGACGGAGCAACGCCGCGUGAGUGAUGAAGGUCUUCGGAUCGUAAAACUCUGUUAUUAGGGAAGAACAUAUGUGUAAGUAACUGUGCACAUCUUGACGGUACCUAAUCAGAAAGCCACGGCUAACUACGUG